rnacentral:rRNA from 1 species
GAAAAGAAACCAACAGGGAUUGCCCCAGUAACGGCGAGUGAAGCGGCAGCAGCUCAAAUUUGGAAUCUGGCCCCCCCGGCGGGGGUCCGAGUUGUACUUUGCAGAAGACGCUUCGGGCGCGUCGGCGGUCCAAGUUCCCCGGAACCGGACGUCGCAGAGGGUGAGAACCCCGUACCCGACCGCGCGCGCGCGCCCGUGUGAAGCUCUUUCGACGAGUCGAGUUGUUUGGGAAUGCAGCUCCAAAGGGGUGGUAAAUCUCAUCCAAAGCUAAAUACCCGCCAGAGACCGAUAGCGCACAAGUAGAGUGAUCGAAAGAUGAAAAGCACUUUGGAAAGAGAGUCAAACAGUACGUGAAAUUGUUGAAAGGGAAGCGCCCGCGACCAGACUCGCGCGCGGCCGAUCAGCCGGGGUUCUCCCCGGCGCACGCGGCCGCGCGCGGGCCAGCAUCGGUUCGGGCGGCCGGACAAAGGCCCCGGGAACGUGGCUCCCCGCGGGGAGUGUUAUAGCCCGGGGCGGCAUGCGGCCCGCCCGGAUCGAGGACCGCGCCUUCGGGCCAGGAUGCUGGCGUAAUGGUCGUCGGCGACCCGUCUUGAAACACGGACCAAGGAGUCUAAUAUCUAUGCGAGUAUAUGGGUGCCAAACCCACGUGCGCAAUGAAAGUGAACGGGGGUGGGAACCCGCGAGGGGGCACCACCGACCGGUCCCGAUGUCCUCGGACGGAUCUGAGUAGGAGCAUAGCUGUUGGGACCCGAAAGAGAGCGAACUUUACGUGGAUAGGGUGAAGCCAGAGGAAACUCUGGUGGAGGCUCGCAGCGGUUCUGACGUGCAAAUCGAUCGUCGAAUCUGCGUAAAGGGGCGAAAGACUAAUCGAGCUCUCUAGUAGCUGGUUCCUGCCGAAGUUUCCCUCAGGAUAGCAGUGUUGCGCUCAGUUUUAUGAGGUAAAGCGAAUGAUUAGAGGCCUUGGGGUAGCAACUACCUUAACCUAUUCUCAAACUUUAAAUAUGUAAGAAGUCCCCGUUGCUUCGCUGAACGGGGACCGUCGAAUGCACCAACACUAGUGGGCCAUUUUUGGUAAGCAGAACUGGCGAUGCGGGAUGAACCGAACGCGGGGUUAAGGUGCCGGAAUGUACGCUCAUCAGACCCCACAAAAGGUGUUGGUUCAUCCAGACAGCAGGACGGUGGCCAUGGAAGUCGGAACCCGCUAAGGAGUG